rnacentral:rRNA from 1 species
AGCCCGGAGAUGGAACCUGAGACAAGGUUCCAGGCCCUACGGGGUGCAGCAGGCGCGAAACCUCCGCAAUGUGAGAAAUCGCGACGGGGGGAUCCCAAGUGCCAUUCUUCACGGGAUGGCUUUUCAUUAGUGUAAAGAGCUUUUGGAAUAAGAGCUGGGCAAGACCGGUGCCAGCCGCCGCGGUAACACCGGCAGCUCUAGUGGUAGCAGUUUUUAUUGGGCCUAAAGCGUCCGUAGCCGGUUUAAUAAGUCUCUGGUGAAAUCCUGCAGCUUAACUGUGGGAAUUGCUGGAGAUACUAUUAGACUUGAGAUCGGGAGAGGUUAGAGGUACUCCCAGGGUAGAGGUGAAAUUCUGUAAUCCUGGGAGGACCGCCUGUUGCGAAGGCGUCUGACUGGAACGAUUCUGACGGUGAGGGACGAAAGCUAGGGGCGCGAACCGGAUUAGAUACCCGGGUAGUCCUAGCUGUAAACGAUGCGGACUUGGUGUUGGGGUGGCUUUGAGCUGUCCCAGUGCCGAAGGGAAGCUGUUAAGUCCGCCGCCUGGGAAGCACGGUCGCAAGACUGAAACUUAAAGGAAUUGGCGGGGGAGCACAAUCG